AAAUAAGAGAUGGCAUUGAUCCUCAAUUAUUAUCUCAUCUUAUUUAGAACUUCUUCAUUAAAGAAAUGUCAUUAAUACUCGAAAAAAUUAUUUCUUAUCCUAUCUAUAGUUAAGAUCGAAUUUACAGAAUUUGAAACAUAAAAGUUGUGACCAUCGAUAUUGAUCUCUGGGUCACGAAGAUUCAUUCAAACAUAAAGAUUAAUGAUCAAGAAAAAUAAAUGACUUCAAGUCUAAGCAUAAAUUCUCCAUAAAAAUAUACAACAGUAGAAAAAAUGCGUUAUUCUAAAAAUCACAUAACUUCAAAAAAAAUUUGAGCAUUAUUUUAAAUUACGCUACAUUCUCAGUUUACGCUAUUUUGAAUAUCAUGAUUCAAUAACAGUGAUUAAAGAUUUAAUUUUGAAAAAAGAUUACAAUAAAAAAAAUAAAAUCAAAUAUGAUAUCACUAAAAUCAAAAAAUUCCUUAAAAAUCAGCACAAAUUAUUAUCAAGAUUUAACAAGAAAUCUUCUUCAACAACAAAUUAAAUGUCAAUUUACUUUUCGAUUCAUCUAUUUUUCGGCAUUAUAAUCGUAUGUUAAUAAUAAUAUAUAAUCAUAAUAAUAAUAAAAAUAAUAAAAUAAUAAAAA